GACGAACGCUGGCGGCGUGCCUAAUACAUGCAAGUAGAACGCUGAAGCUUGGUGCUUGCACCGAGCGGAUGAGUUGCGAACGGGUGAGUAACGCGUAGGUAACCUGCCUGGUAGCGGGGGAUAACUAUUGGAAACGAUAGCUAAUACCGCAUGAUAUUGAUUAUUGCAUGAUAGUCAAUUAAAAGGUGCAAUUGCAUCACUACCAGAUGGACCUGCGUUGUAUUAGCUAGUUGGUGAGGUAACGGCUCACCAAGGCAACGAUACAUAGCCGACCUGAGAGGGUGAUCGGCCACACUGGGACUGAGACACGGCCCAGACUCCUACGGGAGGCAGCAGUAGGGAAUCUUCGGCAAUGGACGGAAGUCUGACCGAGCAACGCCGCGUGAGUGAAGAAGGUUUUCGGAUCGUAAAGCUCUGUUGUAAGAGAAGAACGAGUGUGAGAGUGGAAAGUUCACACNGNGACGG
rnacentral:rRNA from 1 species